rnacentral:lncRNA from 1 species
UUAUAUUACUUUUGUUUGAAUAUGAUUAACACAUGAAUGAUUAGGAUUUGGUGACAGUAGUGUAUACCUAUUAAAUUCGUACAUAAAGGAGUUGGUAAAGGAAAUCUCGAUAAAAAUCGGUGACAAAUAAAAAAAAGAAAUAAUUUUCAUUGUAGGGGUUUAAGGAAAAAGGGUGGAUUCUAUUGUUUUUGUCGAAGACAAACAAGUAAGGUUUUUGAGUUUCAGUAUUGCAAUGGUUUCUCUGACAACAUGGGUUCGAUACGUUGCACACAAGCUUCAAUAUUCCGCUUCUAUAAGCUGGAAGGUUCUUCCCCUUUCUCACUCUCCAUUUUAUUAUUACUCUAUUCAUUUCAUUUCAUCUGAUUCUGUAUUUUUCUCUAUUAAUUCAUUUCAUUUCCCACUUAUAUUAUCCAAUACGUGUUUUUAUGUUCAAUUAUAAAAAAAGCGAGGUUUUUAAAUUGCGGUUGCGGUGUACAAUUGUGGUCGUGAUAUAGUUUGGGCGACUCUCAAAGCCUUAACAUAUUCGGGUAUUUGGUGGUUGCGGACCCGGAUUUGAAAUCUUGAAAAAAUUGUACUUGGGUUUGAGUUUUGG